GGGAUAUUUCAUAUUGUACAACAAAACUAAUUCCAUAAAUUGAAAUGGAGCAAUUAGAACCUAUAGAACUCAGCCUCUCAGCUGUAUUUUACUGUUUUAACUGAGAUUCUUUGGAUUGUAGCUGCCACUGCCCAUCUUUUUCUAGGAUAUCCAGGGAAAGGAAAAAAUUAGCACAAGGAAAAAAUGAAGAAAAGAGAUGCAGGAACAAAUUUAUAUGUGUGCCAUACCAAGUGCUCUUCAUGGGUAAAAGCGAACAAUAAACAAUUCCAUACACUGAAAUAUAGG
rnacentral:misc_RNA from 1 species